GGGGGCUUAGCUCAGUUGGGAGAGUGCAACACUGGCAGUGUUGAGGUCGCCGGUUCGAGCCCGGUAGUCUCCA
rnacentral:tRNA from 2 species